UGAGUAUUUGUUUUAGAUUUUUUGAUCAAUAGGUUGUAUAUUUUAGAUAAAAUUCGCAAAACUUCUAUUUUUAGAAAGUUUUCAUUUUUAUUGAGAAAUAUUGUAGAUUUAGGGUUGUAAUUUAGAAUUUAGGAUAACAAGAAAUUUUGUUGAUAGAUGAGUAUUCUUUGAAGAUUUUUGAUCAAUAAGUUGUAUUUUUAAGAUAAAAUUCUUAAAAAAUCUAUUUUAGGAAAGUUUUAUUUUUAUUUGGAAAUAUUGUAGAUUUGGGGUUCAGAUUAAAAAUAUUAGAACAACAAGAAUUUU
rnacentral:lncRNA from 1 species